rnacentral:rRNA from 1 species
AGCAGUCGCCACGGUAAUACGAAGGGUGCAAGCGUUAAUCGGAAUUACUGGGCGUAAAGCGUGCGUAGGCGGUUUGUUAAGUCUGCUGUGAAAUCCCCGGGCUCAACCUGGGAAUGGCAGUGGAUACUGGCAAGCUAGAGUGUGUCAGAGGAUGGUGGAAUUCCCGGUGUAGCGGUGAAAUGCGUAGAGAUCGGGAGGAACAUCAGUGGCGAAGGCGGCCAUCUGGGACAACACUGACGCUGAGGCACGAAAGCGUGGGGAGCAAACAGGAUUAGAUACCCCCGUAGUCCCUGUCUCUUAUAC